UUGUAUGAUCCAGUCAAUGUUUUAUUCUUUUAAAGAACAUGAGUAUAUCCAUAUCAUGCAACAUAUAAUAAAUGAGAAUUUUUGGGGGGUUGCUGAGUUUUUGAUUGAAGUUAUGUGGUAGUAUAUUUCUUCUACUUUA